rnacentral:rRNA from 1 species
UACGAAGGGGGCUAGCGUUGCUCGGAAUUACUGGGCGUAAAGCGCACGUAGGCGGCUUUCUAAGUCGGGGGUGAAAUCCUGGAGCUCAACUCCAGAACUGCCUUCGAUACUGGAGAGCUCGAGUCCGGGAGAGGUGAGUGGAACUGCGAGUGUAGAGGUGAAAUUCGUAGAUAUUCGCAAGAACACCUGUGGCGAAGGCGGCUCACUGGCCCGGUACUGACGCUGAGGUGCGAAAGCGUGGGGAGCAAACAGG